GACGAACGCUGGCGGCGUGCUUAACACAUGCAAGUCGAACGAAGUGGCGGACGGGUGAGUAACGCGUAAUCAACCUGCCCUUCAGCGGGGGACAACAGUUGUAAACGACUGCUAAUACCGCAUACUGAGGGCUGGGAUUGCGUCGGAUUGGCUAGUUGGAGGGGUAACGGCCCACCAAGGCGAGGAUGAGUAGCCGGGCUGGGAGGAUGGACGGCGACAUUGGGCAUGAGACACGGCCCAGACUCCUACGGGUGGUAGCAGUGGGGAAUCUGCGGCAAUGGACGAAAGUCUGACGGAGCAACGCCGCGGGAGUGAUGACGGCCUUCGGGUUGUAAAGCUCUGUUAAUCGGGACGCGGUACCGGAAUAGAAAGCCACGGCUAACUACGUGCCAGCAGCCGCGGUAAUAC
rnacentral:rRNA from 1 species